CCUACGGGUGGCAGCAGUGAGGAAUAUUGGUCAAUGGCCGUAAGGCUGAACCAGCCAAGUAGCGUGAGGGAAGACUGCCCUAUGGGUUGUAAACCUCUUUUAUGCGGGGAUAAAUGUGUCCACGUGUGGAUUUUUGCAGGUACCGCAUGAAUAAGGACCGGCUAAUUCCGUGCCAGCAGCCGCGGUAAUACGGAAGGUCCGGGCGUUAUCCGGAUUUAUUGGGUUUAACGGGAGCGUAGGCCGGUCUUUAAGCGUGCCGUGAAAUUUUGUGGCUCAACCAUGGGAGUGCGGCGCGAACUGGAGACCUGGAGUGCGCGGAAGGUAGGUGGAAUUCGUGGUGUAGCGGUGAAAUGCUUAGAUAUCACGAAGAACCCUGAUUGCGAAGGCAGCCUGCCGCAGCGUGACUGACGCUGAAGCUCGAAAGCGCGGGGAGCGAACAGGAUUAGAUACCCCAGUAGUC
rnacentral:rRNA from 1 species